AUCUGAUGAUGAGGGCAACUAGCACACAAGCGCUUAAAUCUCUCCCAAUAUUCAUACAAAGUAUCCCUUGUAUAUUGUCUUGUACUGCAUAUCUCUUUCCUUAUGGU